rnacentral:lncRNA from 1 species
AACCCAUGUGAGAUUUACUCACAAUAUUAAAAAUAGCAUCAUAAUCAUCAAUCAAACCUAUUACCAUCGUCAUCAUAAUAAUUAUCAUCAUGAUCAUCAUAUCAUCAACAUUUCCAUCAACAUUUUCAUCAUCAUCAUACAAUUAUCAUCAUCAUCAUCAUAUCAAAAUCAACAUCACAAUCAUCAUCAUAAUCAUCUUCAAAAUCAACAUCAUAAUAAUUAUAAAUGAUGGGUCCGAAAGUGGACCUUAGUGAGAUGUUACUCACCUCAAAUCCAACUGCAUCUUCGCACGCACAACACAAGCAUAUAACACAAAACCACACCACAAGUCACCUAUUAACAAAAACGUUAACCUUAGUAACUUAUGAAAAUAACAUUAUCCGACUCGAACCGAAACUCAAGUCCUAACCCACGAGCUUAUCACUCGAGACAAAUCCUCCUCCUUGACCUCUAAAAGGUCGUUGAAACGUCAUACACAUCCUAUAGAACUACUAACCAAAUUCUCAUGUUCGGAUUACUCAAAAAAUGAAACGAACGAAACUUAACACCACGGGGAAACCCUAGCAUGCAAUAAAGAUAACCAAAACCUACAACCCACAAAUCAUCACGCUCGUAUCGAAGAGUAUUAUCUAACCAGCACCACAAAACACCCCAGACACUACCGGACGCGCCGCCACGCGCCACCACAGGCGGCGGCGAGUGGGCCCCACGCGCCACGACGAAACGUCCGAAUUUGGGCAAACUCAAAACAUCAAAUUUGUAGAUUGAGAAGAGAGGAGCAUCUUUUAUACCUGAGGGUUCAACUAGUUCGGCCGGAAAUCACCGGAAAUGCGUCUGAAAGUUUGGAAUCCACCACCGCCACUCUCCGCGGUGAGUCGCGCUCCAAGGCCACCAGAAGUCGGACCAGGACGCCAAGGAGCUUCUAUCCCGACCGAUCUCUCGCCUUGUCGCCGUCGUCGGAGGUUUGAAACCUGACCGGGUCUCUAACCCGAAAUUCCGAGCUUCGGGUCACCACUUCGGGACCGAAUCGGCGCAAGUCACCACCGCAGGGUAGCUCAGACGGAGGAGAGGAAGAGAACCCGACCGGUGCCAGCGUCUAGGUCAGUCGGAGUGGCCGGAAAAGCCGGGUCGGGUCAUCGGGUCUGGGUCGGGUUGGCUGGAGGACUUUGAAUUCUCUCGGGGUCGGACAGAGAGAAGGAGAGGGAGGAAAAUCUGGUUUCUGAAAAACUGAGGGCCCAAACUGGAAAUUUCCUAUUUAACCUAAAUAUUCCCGAAAAGCCACAACUUUCGCUGACCAUAACUUCCACAUACGAAGUCCGUUUUAUGCGUGUCACGUGUCUACGAACUCGUAUCGUCGUACUCUACAACUUUCGUGAAGGAAGUUUCCCAAGAAACCCAACCGAUUAAAAAGUCAACGCUUAACCCUUCAAAAUAGAGCAUUUUCACGGAACAAAAAAAACUCAACUACUUCCAGUCCACUCACUAAAUCACAAAUCCAUACAACUCUUACUUAAAUAAUUUCCAAAAUAAAAUUAGAAACUAAUAUUAAAAUUCCGGGGUAUUACAGUGAUAGUUACAGAAGUUGCAGUGGGUGUUGAGAGGAACGAUUUGGUGUAUAGUUUGUAGCUAGAAUCGGUGGUCGGCCUUGGAGGCUGACCGCCACUGCCGGCGGCGCGUGAUGCACGUGCGACCUCUUCAGGUGAGUCGAAUUAGCUUGUUAGGUAGGGUUCGUAACAACAAACCCAUCGGUGUAUGAUCUACCAAUUUUGGUGAUCGUAUGACUUAGUCGAAAGUUUCCAAAAUGUGAACAUUGGUUUGUUUAGAUGGUGAACGAGCCGUAUAUCUUGUUUUGGUAGAGAUAGGAGAGCAUUGGGGGUUGUUGGGAAUUUUCGGAAAAUUUUAUAGUUGUGAUGAUCAUUUUGGGUAGAUUCUAUUCAACGUGGAAUCGAUAGUUUUGGAUUUUUAGCUUAGGUUAUAAGAAAUGCCUUAGAUAAAUUUAGUUUUGGUUAGACUCUAUAGUAUGGUAUGAUUAAUGGUGGAGAUAUCUUGUUGGGUGAGUGGACACUUUGUUUUGUUAAAAGAAUAUGCAUGCAUGAUCUCUUUUGGAAAUUAUCGUUCUAAUUUCCGAGCUUAUAUUAUAAUUUCAGUUUAUAAUAUGGUUUUGAGAUUUAUUUGAGUUUGAGGGAUUGAUUAAGUGAUGAUCAUGAUUUAAGGAUUUAAGCUUGGGUUGUUAAUUUGGUAUUUGAGUGUUGAUAUUAUUUAUGAUUUCUGGAUUUAAUUAUUAUCGUUUCUAUUUGUGGAAUUUGAGAUAUGUAAAAGAUUACCGAAAAUGGGAUUUUCGGUAAUUCUCUAUUUAUAAUUUUCUCAUUUAUUUAUGGGAUAUCGAUCUUGACCUUCAGAAUAUUUUAGCGAGUAUUUUGGAUUAAGAAAUUAUUUACAAUUUAUACUGGAUAAUUAUAUCUCGCUUAUAAUUAUGGACUUGAGAAUAUUUUUGACGUAUGAGACACGUCAUUGAGUUUUUUUUUUUAAUUUUUUUAUGAUAAUUUUCAAGUACGGUUAGGAACCGUACCAUUCGCAUGAUCUUGAGGAAUCUUUAUGGAUUUAAGUGAUUUCGUAUGUUGUUAGUCACCAUACUAGGGUCGCUAUUAUUCAUUACUAGCUAACCUUAUUAGCAGUCCUCACCAUAGGUGAGUCGAGCGCUUAGCGUGGGACGCUACUAUAGCCUUGGGAGGCACCGAUCAAAUAUUAUUAUUUAUUGCUAGCUAGCCUUAUUAGCGGUCCUCACCAUAGGUGAGUCGAGCGCUUAGCGUGAGACGCUACUAUAGCUUGGGAGGCCCUGAUCGGUUUUUAUUCAUUGCUAGCUAGCCAUUAUUAGUGGUCCUCACCAUAGGUGAGUUGAGCGCUUAGUGUGGGACGUUACUAGAGCCUGGGAGGCUCAUCUUUAUGGUGAAACAUUUUCCCUUUUUCAUGAUUGCUACAAACCAAUGGGAUUAGUUCAUCACUUCUAUUUUUAGAAGCAUUAUUGGUUGAGCUUGAUUGUUGAAUUGUGAUUUGAGAUAUAUAUUGAUCGAGCAUACUAAUUAUGAAAUGUGGAAUUGUUGAGUAAUUUGGUUCAGUAGAGUUGUUGAUGUAAAUAUAAUAACUUGACCCCUGUCGUUGAUAUAGUGGGUUGGUGGGUGGUUGUGGAUAUGAAGAGCUAACAGCCCCAGGGGUUGAGUUGAUAUGUUUAACCUAUUAUGUACACGGUAGAUUUUAUAAGUUAUAAAUUAUGGCUACAGGUGUUGAGGAUGUAGAUCGUUGAUAUACUAGUGUUUUUAUGAGUUUCUUUGCAGGUCAAGUUCUACUGAAUUUUCGGUAGAAUUUCCUUUUAGAGGUGGUCCCCGCAAGACCUUCUCGGGUUUCGGGAUGAAAUUCAGGACGAGUCUUGUCACUUUAAAGGUAGACAUUUCUAAUGAACAUAGUAGAUGUGUCUUAUGUUAAAUGUCGACUUUGCAACUUUUAUCUUCGGUUGAUUUAAUCUCAAGAACAAUUUUGAUUUCCAUAAAGUCUACUUUUGUUUUAUUUGGCUUAUCUUAAUGGUAGACAUUUCUAAUGAAAAUAGUAAUUGUGUCUUAUGUUAAAUGUAGACUUUGCAACUUUUACCUUCGGUUGAUUCAAUCUCAAGAACAAUUUUGAUUUCCAAGAAGUCUACUUUUCUGUGAUUUACCUCAGGUAAAUGAGAGACAUUUCUCAUAAAAACAGUAGUCCUAUCUCAUGUUAGUAGUAGACUUGAUAAUCUAAAUGGUAGACAAUUCUUAUCAAAAC